AUAGCUCAUUACAACAGUCGUAGUUUACUGGAAAGUAUUUUGUGGAUAACUGUGGUAAUUCUAGAGCUAAUACAUGCGACAAAACGCGACUCACGGAGCGUUGCAUUUAUUGAACCAAAGCCAAUCAGACUUCGGUCUGUCUCAGGUUGACUCUAAAUAACUUUGCUAACCGCACAGUCUCUGCACUGGCGGUGUAUCUUUCAAAUGUCUGCCUUAUCAACUGUUGAUGGUAGAUUAUGCGCCUACCAUGGUUGUAACGGGUAACGGAGAAUCAGGGUUUGAUUCCGGAGAGGGAGCCUGAGAAACAGCUACCACAUCCAAGGAAGGCAGCAGGCACGCAAAUUACCCACUCCCGGCUCGGGGAGGUAGUGACGAAAAAUAACGAAGUGGUGCUCUAUGAGUAUCACUAUCGGAAUGAGUACAAUCUAAAUACUUUAACGAGUAUCCAUUGGAGGGCAAGUCUGGUGCCAGCAGCCGCGGUAAUUCCAGCUCCAAUAGCGUAUAUUAAAGUUGUUGCGUCUGAAACGCUCGUAGUUGGAUCUGAGGCUUUGAACAGCGGUCCUCAAAUGAGUUGUACUGCUUGUUCUGGUCUAUUCUGUUGGUUGGUGUGCAGUGCUCUUCACUGAGUGUUGUACGCUGCCAACUAUUUUACUUUGAAGAAAUUAGAGUGCUCAAAGCAGGCGUCUGCUCGUAUACUUUUGCAUAGGAUAACAGAACAGGGCCUUGGCUCUAUUUUGUUGGUUUUAAAGGCACAAGGCAAUGAUUAAGAGAAACAGACGGGGGCAUUUGUAUUGCGGCGUUAGAGGUGAAAUUCUUGGAUCGUCGCAAGACAAACAACUGCGAAAGCAUUUGCCAAGAAUGUUUUCAUUAAUCAAGAACGAAAGUUAGAGGUUCGAAGGCGAUCAGAUACCGCCCUAGUUCUAACCGUAAACGAUGCCAUCUAGCGAUUCACAGAAGUUAGUUUAACGACUCUGUGAGCAGCUUCCGGGAAGCCAAAGUGUUUCGGUUCCGGGGGAAGUAUGGUUGCAAAGCUGAAACUUAAAGGAAUUGACGGAAGGGCACCACCAGGCGUGGAGCCUGCGGCUUAAUUUGACUCAACGCGGGAAAACUCACCAGGUCCGGACACCGUAAGGAUUGACAGACUAAAAGCUCUUUCUUGAUUCGGUGGAUGGUGGUGCAUGGCCGUUCGUAGUUGGUGGAGUGAUUUGUCUGGUUAAUUCCGAUAACGAACGAGACUCUAGCCUNCUAACUAGUGCACAGGUUUCGUUGCUUGUGUCACUUCUUAGAGGGACCAGUGGCAUAUAGUCACGGGAAGUGGAGCAAUAACAGGUCUGUGAUGCCCUUAGAUGUUSUGGGCCGCACGCGCGCUACAUUUCCUGAAAAAAUGUGUCUGCCUUGCGCUAGGGCGCUCGGUAACCAUUAAUUUCAGGAAUCUCUGGGAUCGGGAUUUGUAAUUAUCUCCCGUGAACGAGGAAUGCCUAGUAGAUCCAGCUCAACAUGCUGGGUCGAUUACGUCCCUGCCCUUUGUACACACCGCCCGUCGCUACUACCGAUUGAGCGACUAAGUGAGGGUUUUGGAAUUUCUGCGCAGACRUUUCGUCUCGUGGAGGUGAAGAU
rnacentral:rRNA from 1 species